CCGAUACAAUGAUGAUCCCAUAGUUCAGCAGAUUGAUCAGUGACGAAGAUAGAGCAAAUGUCUUUCGCUCCUAUCUGAUGUGUCGG